AAUGGGGGCGGUCUUCCCCAUGCUGUUCUCAUGAUGGUGAGUUCUCACCAGAUCUGAUGGUUUAAAAAUGUGUGUCAGUUUCCUCCCUCUCUGUCUCUCUUGCUGCCUUGUGAAGAAGGUGCUUGCUUCUCCUUUGUCUUCCAUAAUGAUUGUAAAUUUCCUGAGGCUUCCCUAGUUAUGCAGAACUGUGAGUCAAUUAAACCUCUUUUCUUAAAAAAUUAUGCAGCCUCAGGUAGUUCUUUAUAGCAGUGUAAAAACAGACUAAUACAGAAAAUUGGUACGAGGAAUGGGAUACUGCUAUAAAGACACCUGAAAAUGUGGAAGCAACUUUGGAACUGGGUAACGGACAGAUGUUGGAAGAGUUCGAAGGCCUCAGAAGAGGACAGGAAGAUGUAGGAAAGUUUGGAACUUCCUAGAAACUUGUUGAAUGGUUUUGACCAAAAUGCUGAUAGUGAUAUGGACAAUGAAGUCCAGGCUGAGGUGGUCUCAGAUGGAGAUGAAGAACUUAUUGGGAACUGGAGCAAAGCAUUCAGGAGGUGCCUGGCUGUUUCUGAAAGUUUACAGUCAUAUGCAUUCACAAAGAGAUGGUCUGAAAUUGGAACUUAUGUUGAAAAGGGAAGCAGCGCAUAAAAGCUUGGAAAAUUUGCAGCCUCACCAUGUGGUAGAAAAUAAAAACCCAUUUUUCUGGGGAGAAAUUUAAGCCAUCUGGCUGCCAAAAUUUGCAUAUGCAACGAGGAGCUGAGUGGUAAUAUCCAAGACAAUGGGGAAAAUGUCUCCACAGCAUGUCAGAGACCUUUGUGCUAGCCCCUCCCAUCACAGGCCUAGAGGCCUAG
ensembl:lncRNA novel transcript, sense intronic to AEBP2